UUUUAGAGGUGACGAUAAUGGAAUGAGCGGCGGACGGGUGAGUAACACGUAGGCAACCUGCCUGUAAGACUGGGAUAACUCGUGGAAACGCGAGCUAAUACCGGAUAACACUUUUCAUCUCCUGAUGAUAAGUUGAAAGGCGGCUUUUGCUGUCACUUACAGAUGGGCCUGCGGCGCAUUAGCUAGUUGGUAAGGUAAUGGCUUACCAAGGCGACGAUGCGUAGCCGACCUGAGAGGGUGAUCGGCCACACUGGGACUGAGACACGGCCCAGACUCCUACGGGAGGCAGCAGUAGGGAAUCUUCCGCAAUGGACGAAAGUCUGACGGAGCAACGCCGCGUGAGUGAUGAAGGUUUUCGGAUCGUAAAACUCUGUUGUUAGGGAAGAACAAGUGCCAUAGUAACUGAUGGCACCUUGACGGUACCUAACCAGAAAGCCACGGCUAACUACGUGCCAGCAGCCGCGGUAAUACGUAGGUGGCAAGCGUUGUCCGGAAUUAUUGGGCGUAAAGCGCUCGCAGGCGGUUCUUUAAGUCUGAUGUGAAAUCUUACGGCUCAACCGUAAACGUGCAUUGGAAACUGGGGAACUUGAGUGCAGAAG
rnacentral:rRNA from 1 species